rnacentral:lncRNA from 1 species
UUUUAAGGAUGAAGGCUACAUGAGAGAGCUGGAUGGGAUAGCACAGUCUACACACAGCACUAGAUACUAUACUACAAAAGACAGUAAUCCCCAAGAGACAAGGAGCAAGAGAGAUGAACCUUCUGAUUGUCCCAGAUUUCCACCUUGAGAAAGUUUCCAGGCCAAACCAUAGCAAGAGGCAACCCAGAAGGAGUCUGGGGAUGUUUGUGAAUUGAGCAGACAGAGCAGAGGAUCUGGGAAGACCAAGGUGUUUCAGGCAUCCACUGGGAGUUUGGAAUGUAUCCCACAUGCAUGAAGGGGAACUACUGUUUUACAAGGAAUGUUCA